UACGGAGGGGGCUAGCGUUGUUCGGAAUUACUGGGCGUAAAGCGCACGUAGGCGGCUUUGUAAGUUAGAGGUGAAAGCCCGGGGCUCAACUCCGGAAUUGCCUUUAAGACUGCAUCGCUAGAAUUGUGGAGAGGUAAGUGGAAUUCCGAGUGUAGAGGUGAAAUUCGUAGAUAUUCGGAAGAACACCGGUGGCGAAGGCGGCUCACUGGCUCGUAACUGACGCUCAGGCGCGACAGCGUGGGGAUCAAACAGG
rnacentral:rRNA from 1 species